GGUACAAAAGUACCAGAAAAAAUCCUGAUUUGAGCUGGAAUUGCUCGUACAGCGAAAUCGAAAAAAAAAUUGUCGAUUUAAGGAAAUAUUCUCGAAAAAAUGUAAUUAAUAAGGUUUUUUUUGUUUUUCAUGGUUACUAACCAACUAAAAUAAAAAUCAAGUUAUAUCUAUAAAUCAUUCAAAUGUAAUCACGAUUUCCUAUCCGUUUAAAUCGGACGUAAGCCACAACUAUUGUUAACGCAAACGCACCCAUAUCUGAGAAAAUCCUUCACGAAAACCUUUUAAAACCACUGAAACUACCCCUGAACAUGACGCACAUUUGUUGCGCAACAAAAGUGCUCCAUUUCCAGCCCACAAUUUACUGGUUUGACGUUUUAACGCUAAUCCGACCUCGAAUGACCAACGACUUAGUACAUCGUAACGCUUAAAAUCCCUAAUAAAUUCAUCGCUUUGCGCUGCGCGGCUGUCGAAAUGGUUAAAAGUACACCCCUAUUCAAUAAUGAAGAGGUUGAUUUUCCCACGCAUUUUCACACCUUUCCACGCGGCGCUUUGAGUAGCUGUCGAUUUUCCGAGCGAGACGUUUAAAAUCUCAUUAAACUUGGCCAAACUUUGACAGGGCUGGCUCAUAUAUACUUAAAUAGUAGCAUCAUGUCGGAUCACUUGUUGGGUUGUGCAACCCCGUCGUGGGAUAAACUGGCCCAGUUUUUCGAUUGUUGGGUCGGCGGUCAUCGGUUGAGAGCGGACUGUGUUUGGGCGGGUUUCCAUCGCGCACGGUGGGGUAAUUUUGGGCAAAAUUUGGACUUAAAGUUUAAAUUUAUCCACAUUUCAACGAAUCAUUUCUGCGGUUAACUUUGCAAGGUGGGUCUGGCCAGUGUUUACAUUGAUGUUGUUAGAUAUUAACUCAGCAUUUUACAUGAUGCUUUUACGCAAGUCUAGUCACUACGAACAUUCUCAUCACGUUGGCCAGCCCUACUGCGUAAAGUUAACCGGAGAGAUGUUUCGUUGAACGCUUAGGAUAAUAUUUAAAAAGUUUUGCAAUAUUUUUUUAAAAUGAAAAUUAUGACCUGCCCAACUGUUCCAAACCCUCACCGCUCUUUGGGGUGUUUACCUGGCCGAGGAGAGUCCAGCCGUAAUGAAUGGACGAAAGUGGAAAAACCUUCAACGGAGGUCGCCGUCUCGAAGGCUGGCUUCUCUUUCGAGGCUAAUUAGCAACCAUUUUUCCCGCAACCGAGCGCGCGCGCGUUAAUGGUUGCAUUAUAUUCAAAGUGGAAUCUGCCUAAAACGAAUAGGCUUUCGGGUGUUGGUAAUUGAAAAUGUUAUAAUUUAUUGCUACAGCGCGACUCGGAUAGCUGGCAGACAUUCCCACAACGAGCUCGGACAGUCGGAAACUGUCAUCGUGUAGCGAAAUUUGAGUCAACUCUGGGUACGGCACAACAAUCGGUUGAAUUUAUGAACGAGCAUUGUUCGGCUGCUGCGGGUUGUCAGAAAAAAAAGGUUGAGCUGGAAUUGCACCUGCAGCAUAACUGCUCCAGAUGUCUUUCACUUGUAUUACCGUUUUAUUUUUGUCUGGUUGAGCACGAUGUUCCGACUUGUAAAAUUCAAAUUAAAUUAGCUGGUCUCGUUAGCAUCGUGGCUUUCUGAAGAAAGCCGCGACUUUCUACCACAGUUGGAUUCUGGUUUAUUGUUUGCAAAAUUGACAGAAAUAAAGCGGUGAAUUUAUGAUUCUUUGGGGAAAUUAAGAUUAAGCGCCUGAUAGCAAUCUAGACAUUAGUUAUUUGGGUGGAAAUUUUCGCCAAUUUAAAUUUACAGUUAUUUAAAUUAGAAAUGUAGCAAAAAAGCACGCUCAUUUGCAUACAAUUUGCGCGCAAAUGACAUAUCACACCUUGUCACCAAUACAUCUUUAGUUUUGACGCGUCGCUGUACGAUGCUGCUCAUCCAAAGAAAUUGUAUUAUUCUUCUUCCAAAAUUUGUGCUUGCUUGGACUCAGAGAAAUAUUUCAAAAAUAGAUUAACUCGCCUGGGACAAAUUGCUCCAUUUCAAUUAAAAAUCCAAAUUCCAAAGCCUCUUAAUUUUAAUUUUUAAAAUCUGAAACCAAAAAAAAAGGUUUCCAUUGGGGCAUUAGAUUAAGUAGCCACCACCAUCAUCUGGGAACAAACCAUCAGCAAACGCCAUCUUUUCUGCCAGUUUGAAGGUGCCUAUUUAAUUGGAUUAAGUCCAUCACUCAAAGUCGCACAGCAGCGGCAGCAGUAGUGUCACUUCCAAGGCGGUUUGUUUACAUUUCGUUUGUUUUGAUUUCGCACGCGCCGCGUCGUCUCGUCUGCGAUAAGUUAAUGGCUGAUGUCACGCAAGAAUUAAUCUUGGUUUUUUAGUGGACAUGACGAUUUUUUGAGGAAAGUUGAACGAAGUUGAAACAAUGCACCACUGAAUGAAUUACGAUUUAUUUAGGUUUUUGUGCUCUAUCCGAAUUGUGGGUGGAACUUUAAUGUGUUCAUUAUAUGGAAAAUGGGAGCUAAAAUAUUCAAUUGUUUAAGCUAAAUGUGCGUGAUUCUGUACAGUUUAGCGGAGAGGUGUUAACGCACUUAUCACAAAAUAAAACUGGAGCGAGCGAUAUGGUUUUAGAACCGGAUUGCAUAUCUCUUGAAAAUAAAUUUUACGUGGCAUUGUUUUCUUUUGUUUGGAUGUUUUGAAUUUCCCCCGGAAUAUUUUAAUUUAAAAGUUAAAUAUAGUUCUUCACAACAAUUAUCUAUUAAAACAUCUAUAAUUAAAGGCCCUUCUGAUCUUAUUAAUUUUUGAUAUAAGGUACCUUUCCUCGGCAAUUACUUUAUUACCGAUUAGUCACACACGUUGUGCUCUCAUUACGAGCAUCGCACACUGCUCAAUUUCCUCGGUGAGCUUUAAAUUUGGUUAUAAAAUUAUCCACAACCCCUUUCACUCUGGCAACACUGCCAAAAACACACUCUCAGUUCUCCCCGCUCAAACUAUCCAACUGCUUUCCAGUUGCAAUUGCAAUUCUCCAAUUCUCACUCUCUUUCUCUCUGGGUCUAUGCAAUUGCACCAUGCUUUCCAUGUUUUGAUCCAUUCCUUCGCGGCUCAAAACUUCCGCUGCUCAAUUUGAAUGCUGCUGUUGUUGUUUAUGCUGGAGCAUCACACCGUGGGAUAGAGCCUCCUCCGCUGCUCUUCUGGAGAGUGAAGACUUGGCGUCGUCUGACUCAGCGGUGGCUCCCCCGGUUUGGCGGCGUCAGUCUUGGCGCACCAACCCAAGCCAGCGGUCGCGGUUUUGGGCAGUCGUGGGUUUUUUGUUUUGUUUUGUUGUUGUUUCAGUUUGUUUUUGUUUGCGCGAUUAAUUGAAGUUGGAUAUCUUGAUGAAAAUUGCAUGGAAUAUGAACGGAGUUGCAGCUGCUGGAUUUAUUCAAAAAAAUUAAUCAUCGUUCAAAAUACUAAUGCUAAAAUAGCAAAAAAAAUAUAGUGAAUUUUUGACUUAAUAUGAUUAUCGAAACUUUUGUGUAAUGGACUAUAUAAUGGACUGAUGAAAAAACAAGUGAAAAAUAUGUGAACUUUUGAGAAAAGAGUGCCACAGGGUACCAACAAAUUGUUUUAAGUGUGUGUGAUUACAACCAAAAAUUGCAAAAUGAGCGAAGGAUUAUUCGAACAUUCUAACUUGGUUGAAGCCAAGUUUGUUCAAUCGAUAAGCAAUAUGGAAUAUUUUAUAACCACAAAAAAAAUCUCAAGGAAGCAUGUAAACUUUUAAGUUCGUGGGAAACUUACGUCCAUUUGUCUGUCCGAUGGCGUCAUUUACGACCGCACUUUGCAGAAAUCUCAACCGUUCCAAAC
rnacentral:lncRNA from 1 species